GAUGAGAUGAGAUGAUAUAAGAUAAGAUGAUAUGAGACCCUAGCAGGGAAUAUUUUAGUGCAACAGAAUGUUUAGGCCUGUUUAUAUGUUGUUUACAUGCCAGAUAAAAAAACAUUUGUAUACAUUAUAUACCAAAGAAGUAUCUGUAUCGAAGUU